rnacentral:lncRNA from 15 species
AUGAUUGUCAUUAUAGUUGGAAUAGCGGUAGUGUUUUGUCACUGCAAACCAAGUGAGCCAGGUAGCGACUCAAAUGACCUCACCGUGUACGCCGAUAUCACUGAAGUUACAAGUGAAGAUAACAUGUCAAUGAAGCCAUGCUCAGUGUAUGAAACCAUUGACAACAGAGUCAGCACAGUCACACCUGGGCCUCAGACUGUGUACGAUAAGAUCCAGCUGAGUCGUGUGAGGAAGGCGUCGGUGUCGCCAUACCAAGAAAUCUCCUAAAGGGUCACAACACAAUGUAUAGCUUCAGAUGUUUGAUACUUUGCUCAGAACAACAUUUUAUUUAGGCAUUUAUAACUGUUCUACUGUUGGCCUCGACAGAUUGCACCUUCCCUUUAUUGUAUUUAAGAACAAAAACUUUCACUUCGAGGGCCCAGGCAGUAGCCAUUUUAAAUAACAAUUUUGUAAAUUCUGUAAAUACAGAGAUAAUAUUUAAAUAUUUUUUAAAUGUUUUGUGUGUUUUGUAUGUCCCCUAAUAAGUACUGUACUAUGCAAAUCCUUUGUGGAUGUCAUUCCUGACACCUGCUUAACAAUGUUUCAUCCCGUGCAAAGGUCAUAUUAAAUUCCAUUUACCAUCAUUACUGCAACUGUGUAUUUUUCUAUUGUUUCUUGUAUCAAAUGUAUCAAACUAGCAGAAGUAAUAUGAUGUAUGUUAAUGUUAUGACAUGCAACAUUAGAUGCAUACAAAUGCAUCACCAUUAGCGUUUCAACUUCCAGCUACACUGAUAUUGUUUUCUAACUUUGCUGGCUGGGUGGACCGAUAAUAAAUCAUGCUCAGGCAUUAUUCUAACUGUUGCACUGUAAAGAGUUUUCACACAUUCAAUUCAAUUUCACACAUCAUUGCAGGGAAAUC